GAUGAACGCUGGCGGCGUGCCUAAUACAUGCAAGUCGAGCGGUAACACUUCGGGUGACGAGCGGCGGACGGCAGAGUAACGCGUAGGAACGUACCCCAAACUGAGGGAUAACUGCUCGAAAGAGUAGCUAAUACCGCAUGUGGUCUUCGGAUUAAAGCUUCGGCGGUUUGGGAGCGGCCUGCGUAAGAUUAGCUUGUUGGUGAGGUAACUGCUCACCAAGGCGACGAUCUUUAGCUGGUCGGAGAGGACGACCAGCCACACUGGAACUGAGACACAGUCCAGACUCCUACGGGGGGCAGCAGUGAGGAAUUUUGGACACUGGGGGCAACCCUGAUCCAGCAAUGCCGCGUGAGUGAAGAAGGCCUUCGGGUUGUAAAGCUCUUUUGUCAGGAAAGAAAAGGCUGUGGCUAAUAUCCACGGCUCAUGACGGUACCUGAAGAAUAAGCACCGGCUAACUACGUGCCAGCCGCCGCCGUUA
rnacentral:rRNA from 1 species